rnacentral:sRNA from 1 species
CAUUAGCCCCGAUUGAAGUGGAAAUUAUUUUGUCCGCCGCAGCGGACAAAAUGAUUGCAACGAAAAGCGGGAACUAUU